CGUGCAUGCCUCAUAUCAAAGCAAUUGGAUUCUUUCAUGCUUUCUUUAAACUUUUCAGUAUCAAAAGUCUCAACUUUUUCAAGUUUGAACUCAAUCAACUGGUCAGAGUCAAUGGUGUAUGCAUUGUGAAAUGACAUAACUGCCCUCUUCUUCUCUCUAGCUAGCAAACAUGCCUUCCACUCUCUGCAUUUAUUUAUUUUUUAUUACAUAAUUAAUUACUCAUAAAUGGAGGAAAAAAACAAUCCUAGAUUUUGGAUAGGAUGAAGCAUUGAUCAAUUUAUAUGAAAUAUUAAAUUAAAUGUUGUAGGGCCUUACCCUGAUUCAUGUUCUUCCUCAUUCUUCUAAUAUUUGUUUU
rnacentral:lncRNA from 1 species